GGCUUCGUAGCUCAGCUGGCUAGAGCAUUCGGUUCAUACCCGGAGUGUCACUGGUUCGAAUCCAGUCGGAGCCACCA
rnacentral:tRNA from 1 species